UACGUAGGGAGCAAGCGUUGUUCGGAUUUACUGGGCGUAAAGGGCGCGUAGGCGGCAGAUUAAGUCAGCUGUGAAAGCCCCGGGCUCAACCUGGGAAUGGCAAUGGAUACUGGCAAGCUAGAGUGCGGUAGAGGGUAGUGGAAUUCCCGGUGUAGCGGUGAAAUGCGUAGAGAUCGGGAGGAACACCAGUGGCGAAGGCGGCUACCUGGACCAGCACUGACACUGAGGCACGAAAGCGUGGGGAGCAAACAGG
rnacentral:rRNA from 1 species